rnacentral:rRNA from 1 species
GACGAACCGAGCGAACGUUGUUCGGAAUCACUGGGCUUAAAGGGCGCGUAGGCGGGUUCACAAGUCCGGGGUGAAAUCCCACAGCUCAACUGUGGAACUGCCUCGGAUACUGGGUGCCUCGAGGGUGGUAGGGGUAUGCGGAACUAUCGGUGGAGCGGUGAAAUGCGUUGAUAUCGAUAGGAACUCCGGUGGCGAAGGCGGCAUACUGGACCACAUCUGACGCUGAGGCGCGAAAGCCAGGGGAGCGAACGGG